ensembl:miRNA xtr-mir-128-1 xtr-mir-128-1
UGAGCGGCUGGAACCGGGCCCGGAGCGCUGUCUGAGAGGGUUUAAGUUUCUCACAGUGAACCGGUCUCUUUUUCAGUCUCUUC